GGGACUAGCGAAACCUAAAGGCGAAAUGAAAGUGAAAGUCGGCCUCGCGCCGACCUAGGGAGGAUGGGUCGCGUCACGGCGCGACCCCGCACUCCCGGGGCGUCUCAUUCUCAUUGCGAGAAGAGGCGCACCAAGAGCGUACACGCUGGGACCCGAAAGAUGGUGAACUAUGCCUGGUCAGGACGAAGUCAGGGGAAACCCUGAUGGAGGUCCGAAGCGAUUCUGACGUGCAAAUCGAUCGUCGGAACUGGGUAUAGGGGCGAAAGACUAAUCGAACCAUCUAGUAGCUGGUUCCCUCCGAAGUUUCCCUCAGGAUAGCUGGCGCUCGCUUUUGCGAGUCUCAUCUGGUAAAGCGAAUGAUUAGAGGCAUUGGGGUCGAAACGGCCUCAACCUAUUCUCAAACUUUAAAUGGGUGAGAUCUCCGGCUUGCUUAAAUCGUGAAGCCGCGAGAUCGGAUCAGAGUGCCAAGUGGGCCAUUUUUGGUAAGCAGAACUGGCGCUGUGGGAUGAACCAAACGCAGAGUUAAAGCUCCAAAAUCAACGCUUAUGGGAUACCAUGAAAGGCGUUGGUAACUUAAGACAGCAGGACGGUGGCCAUGGAA
rnacentral:rRNA from 1 species